GACGAACGCUGGCGGCGUGCUUAACACAUGCAAGUCGAACGGAAAGGCCCUGCUUUUGUGGGGUGCUCGAGUGGCGAACGGGUGAGUAACACGUGAGUAACCUGCCCUUGACUUUGGGAUAACUUCAGGAAACUGGGGCUAAUACCGGAUAGGAGCUCCUGCUGCAUGGUGGAGGUUGGAAAGUUUCGGCAGUUGGGGAUGGACUCGCGGCUUAUCAGCUUGUUGGUGGGGUAGUGGCUUACCAAGGCUUUGACGGGUAGCCGGCCUGAGAGGGUGACCGGCCACAUUGGGACUGAGAUACGGCCCAGACUCCUACGGGAGGCAGCAGUGGGGAAUAUUGCACAAUGGGCGGAAGCCUGAUGCAGCAACGCCGCGUGCGGGAUGACGGCCUUCGGGUUGUAAACCGCUUUCGCCUGUGACGAAGCGUGAGUGACGGUAAUGGGUAAAGAAGCACCGGCCAACUACGUG
rnacentral:rRNA from 1 species